GUCCAAUAAUGGGCAAUACAAGUGGUACUAUGGUGGUCUUAGCUUGUGCAUUUGGCAUUCAACAUUUAAUAGUACAGCUUUAUCUGUUCACAGCUCACAAGACUUGCAAGGAGAUUGAGGUGAUGUUUGUUUUUUUCAGAAAAUCCUCUGGCUUCUUAUGUCUGCGUCGCGCAGAUGUUUAGCUCUGUAGACCGUUUGUUUGUUAGAAUACAUUUCAUUAAAAAAUGUCUUCAAACAUCUGCGCAUCCUUUUCCGCACGCAGACAUGGUCCAAUGUCUUCUCAGCUCUUCCAACCCUUCUAACCUCUUCUUCUUUUCUAAUCUCAAAACACAGACAUCUCUUAUCAAAACCCUAGCACCUCUCCUCCACCCCUCUCCUCCUCCCAGCCGUCACCUCCACCUCCUCCGCCACCACCUCCACCUCCCCCGCCUGUUGCCUCGACGCCCAGCCGACACCUCCACCUCCUCCGCCACCACCACCACAUCUCCGUCACCUCCACCUCCUCCGUCGCUCCCACAUAACAACCACCUCCCUUCUCCACCCUAGCUGCAGCCACUGGCCUCCCCCCUCCACCCAGCUGCUGCAGCCGUCGCCAUCCGUUGUUGGGUUCCGGUGUCGGUGAUGGGUAUUGCAGAUCCAGGGGCGGUUCCCGUCAACAUUGGCAGUGUGUGGUUGUAGAUGAGGUGGUUGUGGUGGCUACGAGGAGAUGGUGGUGGUGUAUGAUGGUUGUGGUGAUUGUUUAGAGAGAGAGAGAGAGAGAGAGAGAGAGGUGUUGUUUGCUUGCAGAAGUAAAAAAACAAACAGUCUUUUUUCUUUGCAGACUGCAGAGGUUUGGUCCAUCUCUUCUGCUACAGAUGUUUGCAAAAGUGGUCCGCCAACUACAGAUAUUUUACCUCUUAAAAAACAAACAGCACCUAAACGGUUAAGAAGCGGGUGAAAAAAAUAGAGUAAAGAUUUAGUGUCUUCAAAUUGGUAUAAUUUCAAAAUUGUUAAUGCUUGAGUACGUAUGAUGUUGAUAUCUAGCUUCUUGCUAGACUUUAAUAAUAAAAUUUUCAUUGUUAAAAAAAA